rnacentral:rRNA from 1 species
GAUGAACGCUGGCGGCGUGCUUAACACAUGCAAGUCGAACGGACCAUAUUCGUAUGGUUAGUGGCAGACGGGUGCGUAACACGUGGGUGACCUGCCCUUAAGUGGGGAAUAACUCCGCUAACGCGGAGCUAAUACCGCAUAUGUUCGCUCAUUCGGUUGGGCGAGUAAAGCAGCAAUGCGCUUAGGGAUGGGCCUGCGGCGGAUUAGGUAGUUGGUGGGGUAACGGCCUACCAAGCCGAUGAUCCGUAGGGGGCGUGAGAGCGUGGCCCCCCACACUGGCACUGAGACACGGGCCAGACUCCUACGGGAGGCAGCAGUGAGGAAUAUUGCACAAUGGGCGCAAGCCUGAUGCAGCAACGCCGCGUGAGGGACGAAGGCCUUCGGGUUGUAAACCUCUUUUCUGUAGGGACGAGGAAGGACGGUACCUCAGGAAUAAGUCUCGGCUAACUACGUG